GACGUGUGUUCCCAGCUCAUAAACUUGGAUCCGCGCGCUCAACAUCCUUCAGCCCAACAAGCCAUGCACGUAUACACACAAAUGUGUGUACAUUUUGAAUAAUACGAGCGCUCGCUCAGCCGACGCUGCGAUGGCAAUUUGCAAACAACUCAUCAGACGGAUGUCCUACUCGUGAGCAUCGUCUUUCGAGUUCAUUUUCAUUCGACCAUACGAAUGUCAAAAGUUCAGAUUUUCCAAUUCGAAAUGGAGAGCAGUUGUUUUAUAGGCAGACCAGAAUAUGGAGCAGCAAAAAAUCGAGAGUGAAUUUUUCGAGCCCACAAAACUUGGAUACGCAGAACAGCGAUGGCUCGAAAAGACGAAAGUCAAAAUGGCGAUGUUUCAAAUUGGAGAUCACCAGUCUGAGCUUUGGAUUGUUUCUCACGAAACUCGAGAGUCGGAAGUGCCUGGAUCUGAAUUUCGGUCGGAUGGAGUCUCACAAGUGGCUUUUAUCUCAAGAAAUGGAUGUUAGCUAGUGGAAUUCACGUGGCUGCGUGCUCUAUCGCACAAGUGCACACACGAAAUUGAUGUAAAUAAGAUACUAGACGUGGCCAGGAUGUUCGGCUUCCUUCAUCAAACAAUUGCAGCAGCUUCUUCGUCGAGAGCUCCACAGGCUUCCCUUUAAUGUCACAACGAAGAUUUUGUGUGCGGGACUCGUAGCGUAAAUACAUUCGGUAUCCCGCUCAUCCGCUCUUGUAUGUACAAAAAUAUAUAAUAAUUUCAAAAUAAAUAUAAAAAUUUACCAAAAACGUAAAAAAGAGAAAAGCCAUGCGUAGCUGUCGAGUUUUUCACGGGAAAUCACUAAUAAACGAGAUAAGACGGUCCUGAUCAAAUAAGAGGGAAUGCAAACGGAAAUUUCAUUCCGUUAGAAUAUGAAGAAUUCUCAAAAUGUCUACGAACGUACUAAAAAAAAGUGCAGC